rnacentral:rRNA from 1 species
CUGCCCAGUGACAAAGUUUAACGGCCGCGGAACCCUAACCGUGCAAAGGUAGCAUAAUCACUUGCCUAUUAAUUGUAGGCUAGAAUGAACGGAUGAACGAAAUAAAAACUGUCUCAAUCAAUAAACUAAAAAUUAACAUAUGCAUGAAGAGUUGCAAAUUCUGUCGAAGGACAAGAAGACCCUAUAGAGCUUAAUUUUAAAUGGGGGCGCACCCCAUAAAAAUUCGGUUGGGGCGACCAAGGACAUAAAAGUUAACACCCUAAAAAAAAAUGAUAUAUCUAUCUAAAAUUUGACCCUAAAAAGACCAUAAUAACAAGCUACCUUAGGGAUAACAGGCUAAUCCCAUUCAAGAGUCCAUAUCUACAAUGGGGUUUGGCACCUCGAUGUUGGCUUAGGGUAUCAGUAUAGCGCAAAAGCUAUAUAAAGAUGGUU